AACGUAGGAGACAAACGUUAUCCGGAGUUACUGGGCGUAAAGGGCGUGCAGGUGGUCUGUUAAGUCUGGCGUGAAAGCUCUCGGCUAAACCGGGAGAGGUCGUUGGAUACUGGCGGACUAGAGGACGGUAGAGGCGUGUGGAAUUCCGGGUGUAGUGGUGAAAUGCGUAGAGAUCCGGAGGAACACCAGUGGCGAAGGCGGGUUGCUGGCUGACACUGACGCUGAUGCGCGAAAGCUAGGGGAGCGAACGGG
rnacentral:rRNA from 1 species